rnacentral:rRNA from 1 species
UACGGAGGGUGCGAGCGUUGUCCGGAAUCACUGGGCGUAAAGGGCGCGUAGGCGGCCUGAUAAGUAGGGGGUGAAAUCCUGCGGCUUAACCGCAGGGCUGCCUUCUAAACUGUCAGGCUAGAGCACAGUAGAGGCAGGUGGAAUUCCCGGUGUAGCGGUGGAAUGCGUAGAGAUCGGGAGGAACACCAGUGGCGAAGGCGGCCUUCUGGACAAAUACUGACGCUCAUGCACGAAAGCGUGGGGAGCAAACAGG